UACGUAGGGUGCGAGCGUUGUCCGGAUUUAUUGGGCGGAAAGAGCUCGUAGGCGGUUUGUCGCGUCGUUCGUGAAAACUCCACGCUUAACGUGGAGCGUGCGGGCGAUACGGGCAGACUUGAGUUCGGUAGGGGAGACUGGAAUUCCUGGUGUAGCGGUGAAAUGCGCAGAUAUCAGGAGGAACACCGGUGGCGAAGGCGGGUCUCUGGGCCGAUACUGACACUGAGGAGCGAAAGCCAGGGGAGCAAACGGG
rnacentral:rRNA from 1 species